rfam:Gossypium hirsutum cultivar TM-1 unplaced genomic scaffold scaffold666.1, whole genome shotgun sequence
UGUUAAAAAUUUCAUUCAUUCUAUUAUUAAAAAUUGUUGUGGUUGACGAAAUAAUCAGUAAAUUACACGUGGAGUUGAUGUAAAAUGACUAGUUUUUAAUAAUAAAAAUUAAUGAAAUUUUUAACA